rnacentral:rRNA from 1 species
AUUAGCAGCCAUAUCACCCUGUAACUCACAACUGGCAACCCACUGAAGCUAAGCAGGUGUGAGCCUGGUCAGUACCUGGAUGGGAAACCUCCUGGGAAAAACUAAGGUUGCUUCUGGAA